ACCAUUGCGAUUUUCGACCAAUAGGCACAUAUUAGGCCUGCCGGUUCGCCGGCUAUGGCGAUAAACGCGUUGCGGAAUAAGCGUUGCGGACCCGGGGGCAGUGCCCGGCGCCUCCACCAAUUUCCUCCCCUCGCCAAACGGUUUAUAGAACCACUGGUUGAGGGGAUUUUAAGGGGGCGAAACAGGAUCGACGUGCGUAGUAAAGGCAAUGGCUUUCGUUCGGUUGGGUACCGCCGUUACCGGUCCAUUUGUAAUAGUUGCUAAUGACAACUUUGCACCGGUUCGUGCCGCUGCUUAACGCAGUCGUAUAAACCGAAACAGUUAAGUCCUAGGCGUUUGCGCGUCUAGGCGGGGUUCGGGAGGCGCCUGGCAACAGAAGCCUCCCACU
rnacentral:tmRNA from 1 species